rnacentral:snRNA from 1 species
CUCGAAUAUGUUUUGUAU